rnacentral:rRNA from 1 species
AUUGAACGCUGGCGGCAUGCUUUACACAUGCAAGUCGAACGGUAACAGGUUAAGCUGACGAGUGGCGAACGGGUGAGUAAUGCAUCGGAACGUGCCCGGUCGUGGGGGAUAACGCAGCGAAAGCUGCGCUAAUACCGCAUACGAUCUGAGGAUGAAAGCGGGGGACCGUAAGGCCUCGCGCGAUCGGAGCGGCCGAUGUCAGAUUAGGUAGUUGGUGGGGUAAAGGCUCACCAAGCCGACGAUCUGUAGCUGGUCUGAGAGGUCGACCAGCCACACUGGGACUGAGACACGGCCCAGACUCCUACGGGAGGCAGCAGUGGGGAAUUUUGGACAAUGGGCGCAAGCCUGAUCCAGCAAUGCCGCGUGCAGGAAGAAGGCCUUCGGGUUGUAAACUGCUUUUGUACGGAGCGAAAAGGUCUUCCCUAAUACGGGAGGCUGAUGACGGUACCGUAAGAAUAAGCACCGGCUGACUACGUGCCAGCAGCCGGCGGUAACAC